GCACAAAGUCUCCAGAGGUUUCCGUUCAGGUUUCCUAAGUGGGACAGGGGCAUUACAGUGCCAGAGACCCGGGUCUGAUCCUGACUACAGGUGCCAUCUGUACAGAGUUUGUACGUUCUCCCCGUGACCGCGUGGGUUUUCUCUGGGAUCUCCGAUUUCCUCCCACACACCAAAGACGUGCUGCUUUGCAGGUUCACUGGCUUGGUAUGAAUGCAAAUUGUCCCUAGUGUGUGGGAUCGUGUAAGCGUGUGGUCGCCGCUGACUCGAUGGGCCAAAAGGGUUGUUACACUGUAUCUCUAAACUAAACCAAACUAAAAUUUUGAAGUUUUAAAGUAAGGAUUUCUAGACUGAAAUGAAAUACAAUAAGAUUUAUAAAAGGGCUCUGUGGUGUUGUUCUACAGUAGCCUUCCCCCCUCUCUGAUUCAGUGGGCGAGUGCUGCUGGGUUGGAUGCCUGGGUAUGGAUCUGUUUGACAGGCUGUACACAUGCACCUGUGUAAACAGAAGGAAGCCUUGGAGUGAUUCGGAAUAAAGAUACAGACCAAGCCACAGAGCCAGUGUGUCUAGACUCCAGAUGUGCUCCCCAUCCCCUUGCAACCAGCUCGGCAAUUAAAGGCUAACAGGCAAACAUGUACCGAGGGACAAGGACUCGGAAUUCAUAGUUAAAAGCCGAUGCCUUCCGGCUGAACAGUUGUCCGGUUCUGGUAUGAAAUCUCAAAGUCUGUCUCGUGGCUCGUUAUCUGUGUAUUUCACUUUUUAAGUUAAUCGUAUUAGCCAACUUGCACUUCAAGGUCCUCCUCCACCAGCCAAUGUAGUUCUGGAGUUCAGUUGAUUGGAGAAUGUGGACUUGCUUCAUCUUUGAUGGUGCCGACAGUCACUGGCUCCCUCCCAAUGUCUGGCCAAUAUCUUAAGUUGUAACUGACCAUUCUCAACCACAGUGAUUUUGCAGAGCAUUAGGCUGGAGGAUUACUCAGAGUAUAAUCAAUGUGGUGGAAUAAUAAAAGAAGCUUGCAGGCCUGCUGAGUACCAUCACAUCUCCAGAUUCAGGCAUAGGUUCAUCUCAUCUGUUAUCAAGCGACAGAACCACCCAACCAACAACUAGAGAGCAGUCCUGAGCUACUAUCUACCUCAUUGGAGACCCUUGGACUAUCUUUACAUGGACUAUACUGGACGUUAUCUUACUCGAGGAGCAAGGAGGUCCUAUUGUACCGGGCCCCGGGCCUACAACAUCUGGAAGGCGUGGUCUCCGGUAAGGAGGUGGCCGAUUUGGGAGCUCCAGGCUGCUGGGAGCGCUCGACCUGUCCUGACCAUCCCGACAAGAGGGCUUGGACAUCGGGCCGUCCAUAGCGGCGACUACGGAGGAUCAGUGCCCGACCACGGGUGAACAAGGGAGGAGGAGGAGGAGGACUGUCUGAACUGCAUUGCCUUCCACCACAGUGAAGAAUGCUGUGGUGGAUGUCUGUGUUGAAUUAAGUUGUGUAUUGUGUCCGUUUUAAUUGUAACGUGGUAAAUUACAUUUCUUAUGGUGCAUGUGACAAAUAAAUUUGAACUUGAACUU